UAUGCUCAAGAGGCUAAAAUCUCACCUAUAGUAUAGAAAUCCCUCUUCAAAGCUCAAGUGGAAGCUAAAUCCCUUUCAAAGUAACCUAAACCAAGGUUCAAAUCUCAUUAGAUUAGCUCAAAGAGCCUCUAAUCAAAAAGCCCCAAAUAAAUCCUAGAUUUCCCACUCUAGGGUUUCAUCUCCCAAAAACCAUCAAAACUAGGUCUAGAGGGGAGAAAAGAGCAACUAACCUCUUAAGAAGCUCCAAUCUAAGCUCCAAGGGUGAAGAUCUUCUCUCUAGCAAGCUCCAAGUCCAAGCCUUCAAGCACUAAAGGGAAGAAGAGAGGGAGAGGAAGAUGCUCCAAGUCCUCUAAUU
rnacentral:lncRNA from 1 species